rnacentral:rRNA from 1 species
AGCGAACGCUGGCGGCUGGCCUAACCCAUGCAAGUCGAACGAAGCCUUCGGGCUUAGUGGCGGACGGGUGAGUAACACGUGGGAACGUACCUUUUGGUUCGGAACAACUCAGGGAAACUUGAGCUAAUACCGGAUGAGCCCUUAGGGAGAAAGAUUUAUCGCCGAAAGAGCGGCCCGCGUUAGAUUAGCUAGUUGGUGAGGUAAAGGCUCACCAAGGCAACGAUCUAUAGCUGGUCUGAGAGGAUGAUCAGCCACACUGGGACUGAGACACGGCCCAGACUCCUACGGGAGGCAGCAGUGGGGAAUCUUGCGCAAUGGGCGAAAGCCUGACGCAGCCAUGCCGCGUGAAUGAUGAAGGUCUUAGGAUUGUAAAAUUCUUUUACCAGGGACGAUAAUGACGGUACCUGGAGAAAAAGCCCCGGCUAACUUCGUGCCAGCCGCCGCCGUAA